rnacentral:rRNA from 1 species
UACAGAGGGUGCGAGCGUUAAUCGGAAUUACUGGGCGUAAAGCGCGCGUAGGCGGCUUUGCAAGUCGGGUGUGAAAUCCCCGGGCUCAACCUGGGAACUGCAUCCGAAACUGCCUUGCUAGAGUAUGGGAGAGGGAAGUGGAAUUUCCGGUGUAGCGGUGAAAUGCGUAGAUAUCGGAAGGAACAUCAGUGGCGAAGGCGACUUCCUGGACCAAUACUGACGCUCAGGUGCGAAAGCGUGGGGAGCAAACAGG